rnacentral:rRNA from 1 species
GUGGGGAAUCUUGCGCAAUGGGCGAAAGCCUGACGCAGCCAUGCCGCGUGAAUGAUGAAGGUCUUAGGAUUGUAAAAUUCUUUCACCGGGGACGAUAAUGACGGUACCCGGAGAAGAAGCUCCGGCUAACUUCGUGCCAGCAGCCGCGGUAAUACGAAGGGGGCUAGCGUUGCUCGGAAUUACUGGGCGUAAAGGGCGCGUAGGCGGACAGCUUAGUCAGAGGUGAAAGCCCAGGGCUCAACCUUGGAAUUGCCUUUGAUACUGGCUGUCUUGAGUUUGGGAGAGGUGAGUGGAACUCCGAGUGUAGAGGUGAAAUUCGCAGAUAUUCGGAAGAACACCAGUGGCGAAGGCGACUCACUGGCCCAAUACUGACGCUGAGGCGCGAAAGCGUGGGGAGCAAACAGGAUUAGAUACCCGAGUAGUCC